rnacentral:rRNA from 1 species
UUGAACGCUGGCGGAAUGCUUUACACAUGCAAGUCGAACGGCAGCACGGGGGCAGCCCUGGUGGCGAGUGGCGAACGGGCGAGUAAUACAUCGGAACGUGCCCGGUCGUGGGGGAUAACGUAGCGAAAGUUACGCUAAUACCGCAUACGAUCUGAGGAUGAAAGCGGGGGACCUUCGGGCCUCGCGCGAUCGGAGCGGCCGAUGUCAGAUUAGGUAGUUGGUGGGGUAAAGGCCUACCAAGCCGACGAUCUGUAGCUGGUCUGAGAGGACGACCAGCCACACUGGGACUGAGACACGGCCCAGACUCCUACGGGAGGCAGCAGUGGGGAAUUUUGGACAAUGGGCGCAAGCCUGAUCCAGCCAUUCCGCGUGCAGGACGAAGGCCUUCGGGUUGUAAACUGCUUUUGUACGGAACGAAAAGGCUCUGGCUAAUACCUGGGGCUCAUGACGGUACCGUAAGAAUAAGCACCGGCUAACUACGUG